UUUAUGGAGAGUUUGAUCCUGGCUCAGAGUGAACGCUGGCGGCGUGCCUAAUACAUGCAAGUCGAACGAUGAAGCUUCUAGCUUGCUAGAAGUGGAUUAGUGGCGCACGGGUGAGUAACGCAUAGGUCAUGUGCCUCUUAGUUUGGGAUAGCCAUUGGAAACGAUGAUUAAUACCAGAUACUCCCUACGGGGGAAAGAUUUAUCGCUAAGAGAUCAGCCUAUGUCCUAUCAGCUUGUUGGUAAGGUAAUGGCUUACCAAGGCUAUGACGGGUAUCCGGCCUGAGAGGGUGAACGGACACACUGGAACUGAGACACGGUCCAGACUCCUACGGGAGGCAGCAGUAGGGAAUAUUGCUCAAUGGGGGAAACCCUGAAGCAGCAACGCCGCGUGGAGGAUGAAGGUUUUAGGAUUGUAAACUCCUUUUGUUAGAGAAGAUAAUGACGGUAUCUAACGAAUAAGCACCGGCUAACUCCGUGCCAGCAGCCGCGGUAAUACGGAGGGUGCAAGCGUUACUCGGAAUCACUGGGCGUAAAGAGCGCGUAGGCGGGAUAGUCAGUCAGGUGUGAAAUCCUAUGGCUUAACCAUAGAACUGCAUUUGAAACUACUAUUCUAGAGUGUGGGAGAGGUAGGUGGAAUUCUUGGUGUAGGGGUAAAAUCCGUAGAGAUCAAGAGGAAUACUCAUUGCGAAGGCGACCUGCUGGAACAUUACUGACGCUGAUUGCGCGAAAGCGUGGGGAGCAAACAGGAUUAGAUACCCUGGUAGUCCACGCCCUAAACGAUGGAUGCUAGUUGUUGGAGGGCUUAGUCUCUCCAGUAAUGCAGCUAACGCAUUAAGCAUCCCGCCUGGGGAGUACGGUCGCAAGAUUAAAACUCAAAGGAAUAGACGGGGACCCGCACAAGCGGUGGAGCAUGUGGUUUAAUUCGAAGAUACACGAAGAACCUUACCUAGGCUUGACAUUGAGAGAAUCCGCUAGAAAUAGUGGAGUGUCUGGCUUGCCAGACCUUGAAAACAGGUGCUGCACGGCUGUCGUCAGCUCGUGUCGUGAGAUGUUGGGUUAAGUCCCGCAACGAGCGCAACCCCCUUUCUUAGUUGCUAACAGGUCAUGCUGAGAACUCUAAGGAUACUGCCUCCGUAAGGAGGAGGAAGGUGGGGACGACGUCAAGUCAUCAUGGCCCUUACGCCUAGGGCUACACACGUGCUACAAUGGGGUGCACAAAGAGAAGCAAUACUGCGAAGUGGAGCCAAUCUUCAAAACACCUCUCAGUUCGGAUUGUAGGCUGCAACUCGCCUGCAUGAAGCUGGAAUCGCUAGUAAUCGCAAAUCAGCCAUGUUGCGGUGAAUACGUUCCCGGGUCUUGUACUCACCGCCCGUCACACCAUGGGAGUUGUGUUUGCCUUAAGUCAGGAUGCUAAAUUGGCUACUGCCCACGGCACACACAGCGACUGGGGUGAAGUCGUAACAAGGUAACCGUAGGUGAACCUGCGGUUGGAUCACCUCCUUUCUAGA
rnacentral:rRNA from 1 species